rnacentral:rRNA from 1 species
UAGGGAAUAUUGGUAAUGGGCGAAAGCCUGAACCAGCAACGCCGCGUGUGCGAUGAAGGCCUUCGGGUUGUAAGAGCUACUUUUGGAGGGAUGAGGUAGGACACGUACCCUCAGAAUAAGUCUCGGCUAACUACGUGCCAGCAGCCGGCGGUAACACGGUAGGAGACAAGCGUUACUCGGUAUUUACGUGGGACGUAAAGCGCGUGCAGGCGGUCUGGUAAGUUGGAUGUGAAAGCUCCUGGCUCAACGUGGGAGAGGUCGUUCAAUACUGUCAGACUAGAGAGUGGGAGAGGGAGGUGGAAGUUCCGGGUGUAGUGGUGAAAUGCGUAGAUAUCCGGAGGAACACCAGUGGCGAAAGCGGCCUCCUGGCCCAUUUCUGACGCUUAGACGCGAAAGCUAG